rnacentral:tRNA from 1 species
ACGUAGCUGGCUCAGUCGGUGAAGCAUGCGACUCUUGAUCUCAGGGUCAUGAGUUUGAGCCUCAUGUUGGGUG